CGGAGAGAUAGGCGGAUACUGUUGAAUUUCAUACUUUCAGGAAGCUUAAUCAAGAAGGUGGUAAUACCCCCGGAGCUGUUUCCUUGGAUGAUGUGGAUCUUGAUCAAGUUAGCGUUGAUUUUGUCCUCAAUUGUGCAAGAAAAGUUGGUGAAUGCAAGUGUGAGUUGCUAAGUAACUGGGGUUUAUGGUGAAGUUGCCAGGGGAGAGUAAAACUCUACAGAGCCUCUACAAAGAUUUCAGAGAGAUAGGCGGAUACUAUUGAAUUUCAUUCUUUCAGGAAGCUUAAUCAAGAAAGUGGUAAUGCCUCCCGGAGCUGUUUCCUUGGAUGAUGUGGAUCUUGAUCAACUCGUUGAUUUUGUCCUUAAUUGUGCAAGAAAAGGCGGACUCCUUGAACUAUCUGACAGCAAUCUGUUCCCUCAUAUGGUAAAUUCGGACUUGCACAUUCAUUAUUAUAUGUUCAAUGGUCAUUAUUUAUGAAUGUUCUUGUUCGAGAUUGCAAAUACAUUGAUUUCUAUUCAAUAUUUACUAUUUGUGAAUGUUCCAUUUACCGAGGCUUAUCUAUUGCUGCUUAGAAUUAUUUUCAUAUGGGGUUGUUGUGUAGCAAUUUUUCCUAUCCCAAAACAUUAUUUAGUGUGUUCUAUGCACAUCAAUGUUUAUUUUCAUUCCUCAACGCUUUCCUUUUUGUAUUAAGAGUAAUGUAGGUUCAAAUGAUGAAUUCUUUCUAGCUACAAAUCCUGAACUAUCGGGUUUGCCUCCAAGAAGAUUACCCCCGCCUGUCCCUAUUUCCACACCAUCACCAAUUAUGCCAACACUCUCCACAUCAGAAUCAAUUGACUGAACCAUUUGAAGAGCUGUCCAGUUUAUCUAAAUCUCAGUCUCUCAGUUCCACACAACAACAAGAGUUUAACAAUGCUGCUGCUGAUCUUGUGCUUGGAUUGUCGUCAUUUGCUACUGGUAAGCAUGCUUAUUAUAGGUGUAUAUGUGUAUGGUGGACCUGUAACUUCUGCUAUCAUAAGUGUGACAGUUUCAUUUUUGCAGUAUUAGGUUGUAAUUUGCUUCUUUUUUUAGCUCUAAGGUGCUAUAUCUAUAGUA